rnacentral:rRNA from 1 species
GCGUGCCUAAUACAUGCAAGUCGAGCGGACAGAAGGGAGCUUGCUCCCGGAUGUUAGCGGCGGACGGGUGAGUAACACGUGGGUAACCUGCCUGUAAGACUGGGAUAACUCCGGGAAACCGGAGCUAAUACCGGAUAGUUCCUUGAACCGCAUGGUUCAAGGAUGAAAGACGGUUUCGGCUGUCACUUACAGAUGGACCCGCGGCGCAUUAGCUAGUUGGUGGGGUAAUGGCUCACCAAGGCGACGAUGCGUAGCCGACCUGAGAGGGUGAUCGGCCACACUGGGACUGAGACACGGCCCAGACUCCUACGGGAGGCAGCAGUAGGGAAUCUUCCGCAAUGGACGAAAGUCUGACGGAGCAACGCCGCGUGAGUGAUGAAGGUUUUCGGAUCGUAAAGCUCUGUUGUUAGGGAAGAACAAGUGCGAGAGUAACUGCUCGCACCUUGACGGUACCUAACCAGAAAGCCACGGCUAACUACGUGCCAGCAGCCGCGGUAAUACGUAGGUGGCAAGCGUUGUCCGGAAUUAUUGGGCGUAAAGGGCUCGCAGGCGGUUUCUUAAGUCUGAUGUGAAAGCCCCCGGCUCAACCGGGGAGGGUCAUUGGAAACUGGGAAACUUGAGUGCAGAAGAGGAGAGUGGAAUUCCACGUGUAGCGGUGAAAUGCGUAGAGAUGUGGAGGAACACCAGUGGCGAAGGCGACUCUCUGGUCUGUAACUGGCGCUGAGGAGCGAAAGCGUGGGGAGCGAACAGGAUUAGAUACCCUGGUAGUCCACGCCGUAAACGAUGAGUGCUAAGUGUUAGGGGUUUCCGCCCCUUAGUGCUGCAGCUAACGCAUUAAGCACUCCGCCUGGGGGAGUACGGUCGCAAGACUGAAACUCAAAGGAAUUGACGGGGGCCCGCACAAGCGGUGGAGCAUGUGGUUUAAUUCGAAGCAACGCGAAGAACCUUACCAGGUCUUGACAUCCUCUGACAACCCUAGAGAUAGGGCUUUCCCUUCGGGGACAGAGUGACAGGUGGUGCAUGGUUGUCGUCAGCUCGUGUCGUGAGAUGUUGGGUUAAGUCCCGCAACGAGCGCAACCCUUGAUCUUAGUUGCCAGCAUUCAGUUGGGCACUCUAAGGUGACUGCCGGUGACAAACCGGAGGAAGGUGGGGAUGACGUCAAAUCAUCAUGCCCCUUAUGACCUGGGCUACACACGUGCUACAAUGGACAGAACAAAGGGCUGCAAGACCGCAAGGUUUAGCCAAUCCCAUAAAUCUGUUCUCAGUUCGGAUCGCAGUCUGCAACUCGACUGCGUGAAGCUGGAAUCGCUAGUAAUCGCGGAUCAGCAUGCCGCGGUGAAUACGUUCCCGGGCCUUGUACACACCGCCCGUCACACCACGAGAGUUUGCAACACCCGAAGUCGGUGAGGUAACCU